rnacentral:rRNA from 1 species
UUCCGGUUGAUCCUGCCGGACCCGACUGCUAUCAGAGUGAGAUUAAGCCAUGCGAGUCAACGUAGCAAUACGUGGCACACGGCUCAGUAACACGUAGUCAACAUAACCAAAGGACGUGGAUAAACUCGGGAAACUGAGGCUAAACCGCGAUAGACCAAGAUUCCUGGAAUGGUUUUUGAUUAAAAUCUAUAUGGCCUUUGGAUUGGACUGCGACCGAUCAGGCUGUUGGUGAGGUAAUGGCCCACCAAACCUGUAACCGGUACGGGCUCUGAGAGGAGGAGCCCGGAGAUGGGUACUGAGACAAGGACCCAGGCCCUAUGGGGCGCAGCAGGCGCGAAACCUCUGCAAUAGGCGAAAGCCUGACAGGGUUAUUCUGAGUGACUUUCGCUAAGAAAGUCUUUUGACACCUCUAAAAAUGGUGUAGAAUAAGGGGUGGGCAAGUCUGGUGUCAGC